rnacentral:rRNA from 1 species
GAACGGCAGCACAGGUAGCUAUACCGGGUGGCUAGUGGCGGACGGGUGAGGAAUACAUCGGGACCUGCCCAGACGUGGGGGAUAACGUAGGGAAACUUACGCUAAUACCGCAUACGUCCUACGGGAGAAAGCGGGGGAUCGCAAGACCUCGCGCGGUUGGAUGGACCGAUGUUCGAUUAGCUAGUUGGUAGGGUAAUGGCCUACCAAGGCGACGAUCAGUAGCUGGUCUGAGAGGAUGAUCAGCCUCACUGGGACUGAGACACGGCCCAUACUCCUACGGGAGGCAGCAGUGGGGAAUAUUGGACAAUGGGCGCAAGCCUGAUCCAGCCAUGCCGCGUGGGUGAUGAAGGCCCUAGGGUUGUAUAGCCCUUUCGGCGGGGAAGAUAAUGACGGUACCCGCAGAAGAAGCCCCGGCUAACUUCGUGCCAGCAGCCGCGGUAAU